UACAGAGGUCUCAAGCGUUGUUCGGAUUCAUUGGGCGUAAAGGGUGCGUAGGCGGCGGGGUAAGUCUGGUGUGAAAUCUCGGAGCUCAACUCCGAAACUGCACUGGAUACUGCCUUGCUCGAGUACUGGAGAGGAGAUUGGAAUUUACGGUGUAGCAGUGAAAUGCGUAGAUAUCGUAAGGAAGACCAGUGGCGAAGGCGAAUCUCUGGACAGUUACUGACACUGAGGCACGAAGGCCAGGGGAGCAAACGGG
rnacentral:rRNA from 1 species